ensembl:lncRNA
GCGCCCUCUUGUGGAACAUUUAAAUAAUGCUGACCGAUUUAAUUUUACUGUCAUUUGGCCUCAUAUGGAGAACAUGAAACCUGUCUGAUCUCUCAGUAUCAGACACUGUAUCCUCCACUAGGUGGCGCUCUUUCAGUGUGAUUAAUGUGAUCUUCAGUAAGUGGUGAUGGAGGGAGGAGCCAGUAAAGCUGUUCAUAACUGAUAAAGAGCUGAAUAAAGAGGAAGUAACUAAAGCAGACAGAUGUAGAGACAGAGAGAUUCACACAGAGAUCAUUCAGCAUAAAGAAGACUGAACUCAAGUCACAAUGAAGAUCCUCCUCAUCUUCCUCACUUUCUACCUGAUCUCAGAUGCAGAAAAAGACAUUGAUGUCACUGGAUAUUCUGGAGGAAGUGUUCUUGUUGAUUCUGGCAGGUUUUCACCCGAUAACAAUCACAAUCUACAAAAACAAACCAGUGGCAAGUGGUAUAUAAUAAUAGACAACAAAAAACAAGCUAAAUGGAUUAAUAAAGGAAGAUACACUUUGUAUCUCAACAAAAACAGAAACGUCAUGCUCUUAAUCAGAGAACUAAAUGCACAGGACUCUGGAAGAUACAAGAUUGGACUUUCAGGUUCAGAGGUUAUUGAAAUACAUCUGAAUGUGAUAAAUGAUCCAUGUUGUAAAGUGUCAACGAGAGUGGAGGGAAGAAGGAAACGAACUUCCUUAUUUAAAUGUGAAUAUUCACAGAAUCAUAUUAAUAAUCCCAAGAUCAUAUUCAAAGAGGGAAAAGACUCCAUUGAUGAGAUUAUAAACAGUUCAUUGAAAAGGAAUGGAAGGUUCAGUAUGUCUGAAAGAAGAGAUAAAAAAUUAAUAACUGCGAUAAUUUCUGAUGUGACACCAGAUGAUGGAGGAGUUUAUUUAUGUGGCGUUCAGAUCAACACACUCUUGUACAGUUACUACAUUAUUACUACUGUUCAUCUACAUUUUAUUCUGGAUGUAGUGGGUGUGUCUAGAAUGACUGGCUACUCAGGAGGUGGUCUGAUGAUCAAGUGUGAACAUCCUCAAUACAAAACCAAACCAAAAUACAUCUCUAAAGAAUCAGACGGAUGUUCAGAGAGGAAGAGUCCAGGAGUUCAGGAUGAAUGGAUGGAGAAUGGAGAUGUUUCUUUAUAUGAUGACACCAGAGCAGGAGUCUUGAUGGUGUUUUUUAGAGAGCUGAAAGCUGCAGAUGCAGGUACAUACAGGUGUGGAGUGAAAGAAUCUGACUAUACUGAGAGCUUCACCGAACUACAGCUGAGCGUCAAACAUGGUGAGGAACAGAAAAUACUUUAACUGCAUGUAUGAUUUAUCUAUUAUGUCUUUUUGUGUAAACCUGUCUUGAUUUGUAGAUGCAGAAUAUCCAAACAGCAUGACUGAAUCUGUGUAUCUUGGUGAAGAAGUCAACAUCUCCUGUCAGAUCCCAGAGAAACAUAAAGUUCAUUUCUGUAAAGAGGAUGAUAAUCACAUCUGCCAGAACAUCAGCUCAUCUAAAGUGACAGAAAUGAGUGGUUCAUCAGAGAGAAAUGAAGAGAGAGUUGUUACAGUGAGCAUCAGUAAUGUGAGUGUGAGAGAUGCUGGAGUUUACUGGUGUGGAGCAGAAACCAGAGACACAUAUCUGACUUUCAUCUCCCUGACCACUAAAAUUCAGCUCAACCUCAUCAGUGAGUCCAUUCAGAUCACAUCAUCACUGAAGUGCAUUUAAAUAUCAGCAUUUUAUUCACAUUGUCAAAUAUGACCACUUACAGAUCUUCCUGUGUGACACUGAGAGGGUCGUUCUAAAGUCAUUCUUGGUGUAUUUAAUAUAUACCAGGGUUCCUCAAUUAGUUUUUGCAGAAGGCCGAAUUCUGCCAAGCCAAGGGCCACUGACCUGUGUGUGUGUGUGUGUGUGUGUGUGUGUGUGUGUGUAUAUAAUAUUAUUAUUACAAUUAUUAUAUUAUUGUUGGUCACAAAGAUGGUCACAAGAUAAGUAUUCAGAUUUUUUUCCCCAAGUAGUCUUUUAUUCAAACAAUUAUGAACUUUUUUGCAUUUAGAUACAGAAGAACUUUGCCUGUUGAAUAUUAAAAACAAAUGAACUAAUAAAAAAUCUGUUUCUCCAUGUCUGCCA